AGAUAAAGAAUUUACACUUGAAUCUCGAUCGUCGUACGGGUUUUGUCAAGGGCUAUGCUCUAAUUGAAUUUGAGAAGUUUGAGGAGGCACAGAGAGCCAUAAAUGAGAUGAAUGGAACUGAACUCCUAACCCAGACCAUGAAUGUUGACUGGGCGUUCAGCAAAGGUCCAUUCAGAAGAAGGAACAUUAGGAGGAGAUCACCUCGGGGUCAUCAUUCCAGGAGUCCAAGAAGGAGAUUCUGAUCAUGGUGGCAUGUGAGAGUUUUUGGCACUUUGAUUUAGAGUGAAGAUACAAAUGUGAAUCUUUGUUAACUUUUAACAAUGUGUACGAUUGUUGUUUCUGU